rnacentral:lncRNA from 1 species
UCUUUUUGAGGUCAAGUGACUCUGCAACUUGCCAAACAGGUUAGUCUUACUACUUUGCAAUAUUACGUCUUAAUUAAUGUUUGUGUUAUAGUCACAGUGUUUGAGAUUGUCCAUCUAUCGUAUUUUCAGGCAAAUGAAAGAGCCGAUGGAAGGAUUUUGUUGAUGAUUAAUUAUAGAAAAUCCGAGUGCUGAAUUGUUUGAAAGUUGGAUUAGUGUGAAAACAUUAGUCCCUUGUUGAAGGAUUAGUGUGAAAACAUGUUUUACAAGUGAAGGGUACGUCGUCGUUUUGCAGUUGAGGCUAGCUUAUGUUGCUUCUGAAUCGAGAGUUGCUUCCCCAGCUGCCGCAGGUGAGUCUCUAGCUGCUCUCUGCGUUGGAUUUUUUAAUUUAAGAAUUAUUGCUUCACAAAAUAUUCGAAUCAAAAUACUAUAAAAAAUAUUUAUUAAUUACAUUGCCUUUCCAAACUCGUAUUUAAUAUCGUGCUCGUAAAAUUUGGUUCCUCUUUUCCGCUCUGCAUAAGCAUUUGUGUAGAUGUUACUAACUCAUAUGAUGUGCUCUUGAUUUUAGAUCGAGUUGCUGAAAUCAAGAUUUGAUGUUAAUUUAAUUUGGUACAUUAAAAUUGUAUUUUAAGUCACAGGCUGUUCCCUCAAAGUUGAGAGUUUGCAUAUUUUUAUCAAGCAGUUUGAUCGAUUCUAAAUUAUUUAGAUUAUCACAAGGAUUUGCAUAGGUCUACCUAAUAUCUUUGCAAUAUCACAUUUUAAUGUUCCUAUUAUAGUCACAAUGUUUGAGAUUCCAUCUACCGAUUUUCAGGCAAAUGAGAGAGCCGAUCAAAGGAAUCAGACGUCGCAUUAUCCCAUAAUUUCGAUUGUUGUAUUGCCACAUUGUCG